UUGGAGGGCAAGUCUGGUGCCAGCAGCCGCGGUAAUUCCAGCUCCAAUAGCGUAUAUUAAAGUUGCUGCAGUUAAAAAGCUCGUAGUUGAAUUUCGGGACCAUCAUGUCGGUCGUGCCUCGGUACGUACUGGCAUCGUUGGUUUCUCCCUUCUGACGAACCACGAUGUCAUUUAUUUGGUGUUGUGGGGAAUCAGGACUGUUACUUUGAAAAAAUUAGAGUGUUUAAAGCAGGCUCACGCUUGAAUACAUUAGCAUGGAAUAAUGAAAUAGGACGUUUGAUUCUAUUUUGUUGGUUUCUAGGAUCGACGUAAUGAUUAAUAGGGAUAGUUGGGGGCAUUAGUAUUCAAUUGUCAGAGGUGAAAUUCUUGGAUUUAUUGAAGACUAACUACUGCGAAAGCAUUUGCCAAGGAUGUUUUCAUUAAUCAAGAACGAAAGUUAGGGGAUCGAAGACGAUCAGAUACCGUCGUAGUCUUAACCAUAAACUAUGCCGACUAGGGAUCGGAUGAUGUUAAUUUUUUAAUGACUCAUUCGGCGCCUUACGGGAAAC
rnacentral:rRNA from 1 species